UACGUAGGGGGCAAGCGUUGUCCGGAUUUAUUGGGCGUAAAGAGCGUGUAGGCGCCAGGUAGGUCUGCUGUGAAAACUCGAGGCUUAACCUCGAGCUGUCGGCGGAAACCAUCUGGCUAGAGUCCGGAAGAGGAGAAUGGAAUUCCCGGUGUAGCGGUGAAAUGCGCAGAUAUCGGGAAGAACACCCGUGGCGAAGGCGGUUCUCUG
rnacentral:rRNA from 1 species